AGCAGCCGCGGUAAUUCCAGCUCCAAUAGCGUAUAUUAAAGUUGUUGCAGUUAAAAAACUCGUAGUUGAAUUUCGGGGUCAGUAGGUUGGUCGUGCCACCGGUACGUACUGGUCUCACUGAUUCCUCCUUCCUGAUGAGCUGUAAUGCCAUUAAUUUGGUGUUGCAGGGAAUCUGGACUGUUACUUUGAAAAAUUAGAGUGUUUAAAGCAGGCUAACGCUUGAAUACAUUAGCAUGGAAUAAUGAAAUAGGACGUUCGAUCCUAUUUUGUUGGUUUCUAGGAUUGACGUAAUGAUUAAUAGGGAUAGUUGGGGGCAUUAGUAUUCAAUUGUCAGAGGUGAAAUUCUUGGAUUUAUUGAAGACUAACUACUGCGAAAGCAUUUGCCAAGGAUGUUUUCAUUAAUCAAGAACGAAAGUUAGGGGAUCGAAGACGAUCAGAUACCGUCGUAGU
rnacentral:rRNA from 1 species